AGCAAGCGGACGAAGGCAUACACGGCGGCCGAGGACAAGCUCCUUUGUGAGUGUUGAAGGGACAUUGCGCAAGACCCCCAGGUCAGCGCGAAGCAGAAGGCAUCAACCUUUUGGAUUCGUGUCCACCGUGAGUUCCAUGAACGCAAGAAGUUUGCGCCGUACCAAAUGCAUAGCACGCGCGGGUGGGUGUCCAUUUUGAAGCGAUGGAGGGUGAUCCAUAAGAGUGCAAUAAGUCUUGUGCCACUCUCGAGAGCAUCAAGGCACGCCCCAUGA
rnacentral:rRNA from 1 species